UCACCUGAUAAAUGGCCUGAGGGAUGAGAUUCCUCCACAUGAGUUUUGUUAUCAGAGGCUCGGAUCGGCCAACGGGAGGCUUUGACAUGAGAUCAUUGGUGGGCUGCUCAGUGGCCAAUGCCAAUGCUCCUAGUGUAUCCAUUAUCAGGUUCACCCAGAGCAGCUGAACAGCAGUUAGUGGGACUUUUCCUGAAGAAACAGCAGCAACAAAGUUGAUGACAAGAGCAGCAACAUUGACUGUGAGCUGAAAUUGAAGGAAUUUCUGAAUGUUGUUGUAGACACAUCGUCCCCAUCUCAGAACUGUCACUACAGAGGUGAAGUUAUCAUCCAUAAUGACGAUAUCUGAGCUCUCCUUUGCCACUUCAGUUCCUUGAAUUCCCAUCGAGAGUCCUAUAUCUGCUGCCUUUAGAGCAGGAGCAUCAUUUGUGCCAUCGCCAGUCACUGCUACAACAUGGCCUUUCUGCUUCAAGCUUUGAACCAUCAGAAGCUUGUCUAGUGGGGAAGACCUUGCCAUCACUCUGAUACUUUCAAUCUUUGCCACUCUUUCUUCAGCUGAGAGACUUCUAAAUUUCACACCUUCGAUUACUGCAUCAUCAUUGUUUAAACCCACAUCAGGGUUCAGGAUUCCACAUUCAAUAGCUAUGGCUCUAGCCGUGUGCACAUUGUCUCCAGUUACCAUCUUGACAUUCACCCCUGCAUUUCUACAACAUUCAACUGCUGCUCUGACACCUGGACGACAAGGAUCCUUCAAACCCACAAGCCCCAACAAGGUCAGUCCAGUUUCUUCAAGCUUCUCCUGGACUUGCCCAUCAGCUUCUGCAACUUUAGUGUGAGCAAAAGCAAUGCAUCUUAAGCUCUUGGCUGCCAUGUCCUUGAUAACUAUCUCAAUUUGCUUUCUCGCUUCACCAUCCAAGACUCUGAUUGUCCCACUUUUGACAUAAUAAUGAGAACACAUGGCCAGUAUCAUCUCUGCAGCUCCCUUCCAGUGUAUGUGAACCGUCUUUUCACAGAUCCUCUUCACCAAAACUCCACUUCUCUUUUUCUCUGAAUUGAAGGCCUCCACGUUGAUUACUUUACAGCACUGUUUCGGCUCAUCAACAUUCAUCCCCAAAUCAAGCACAGCCCAAGAAAGAAUUGCCUUCUCAGUUGGGCUACCAGUAAUCUCAGGAGUCGAUUCAGAAUUCGAUUUGUAAACAUUACCAAUGGUGUUUAAACCAACUGCAUCUUGCAGCAACUCGUAGAGAUUAUGUGCUAAUCCUGAGGAACUAGCAUUGCCCGUCAUUGCUUCUUUUCCAAUCCAGAAUUCCGUAACCUUCAUUUGAUUUAAAGUGAGAGUGCCUGUUUUGUCAGUGCAAAUGGUUGUUACAGAGCCCAUAGUCUCACAAGCAGAGAGCUUUCUUACCAUAGCAUGUUCCUUCAUCAUUCUCUUCAUCGAAAAAGCCAGCGUAAGAGUAACAGCAAGAGGCAAGCCUUCAGGAAUUGCCACAACAAUAAUGGUGACAGCAGCAGCAAUAAUGUUGAUCACAGAAUUCAUCACAUCAUCGACCUUCGUCUUCCUCCCGAGAAAUUCUCUUUUUCCUGUCUCAUCUCUUGUGUUUCCUGUGAAGUACCGAAUCAACAUAACCGCAAGCACAAGAACAGCCACUGUUAACCCAAUCUUCCCAAUGCAAGAAGUCAGCUUGUUGAGCCGAGCUUGCAAUGGCGUCUCCUCAUUCAACUCGUGGCUAAUAGAGCUCAUCAUUUCACCCCAAGCAGUGCUCAUUCCAACAGAAGUGACCAGCAUGAAGCCAUAGCCAUCGGUCACUUUAGUACCCGAAAGCAAGAAAGGACUCUUCUCAUCAACUUCAACAUGAUCACUUUCCCCAGUCAUGCUAGACUCAUCAACCUUCAGAGAAUGGCCGUUCAAGAACAACCCAUCAGCCGGAAUUUGAUCACCAGUCUUCAAACAAACAAUUUCACCAACAACAACAUCAAAGAUUGACAAACCCUGGCGCCUGCCAUCUCUCACAACUUCAAUUCUUAUAUCACUGCUCUCAUCAGCAAGAGCCUGAAAUUGUCUACUCUGCUUAAAAUUACUCACAGCAGAGACGAUGACAACUAAAAAUACAGCAAAUAUGAUACUACCGCCAUCGAACCAGCCUUCUUUCAAGCCUUCUUGUUUAAUGCCAAAACCCAGAGAGAGUAAAGCACAAACCAAGAGUAUGAUAAUAGUUGUAUCUUUAAGUGCCUCAAAAACAAAACUUAUAAAGCUUUUUGCUUUUGGUCUUUUGUACCUGUUUGCUCCGAAAACAUUGAUCCUGUGACCAAGAUCAGCUUUAUUGCCACUGAUGCCACGUUUGGUAUCACUUUCAAGAAUCGCAGCAACUUGAUUAACUCCUCCAAGAUUACUCAAGGACUCAAAACUCUUCUCUUUCACCAUCUUCGAGAGCAUCUGCUUGUUGACCCCGACAAAGGGAACUUCAUGGUCGUCACUGGUACUAAUGUCGACGGCAACGUAAGAGAGGGAGCGAAGCAAGAUUUGGUUGUUGUUUUGAAGACACUUUCUGGACAUUGAAACAAGAGCUCUGGUGAAGCAUAUGACUCUAAAGGCCAUUCGCCACCUUCUUUGGUGGCGUUUUGAAAGCACCAAGAGGUCAAGUUCUAAUUCAUUGAUCGGCAUUGUAUUUUCAAUUGGUUUCCGAGACCUAAGAGUUAAAGACAUGGCUAAAAAACAAUAACAAGAACAAAGAUCAAGAAUUUGUAACAAUGGAACGAGUAUGUAAUUUGUAACAAUGGAACGAGUAUGUAACUCUGUGAAUGGGUUCACUUUUUAUAUGUAACAAUCGUCCCAGAGAAUUUCUCUGUGACCGUUACACAGGAAGCUACAGUGCAGGUUCUUGGCUCCUUCCUAGGUCAUUUAUUUCGAAUACGAGACGUUAGAAAUAGAAUAAAUUUUACUAAAUUUGGAAUAUACACUUGUAAGCUAUGCAGGCUUUUGCAUUCAAGCGAUAAAAGAAGAAAUCUUAUUUUUCUUCAUUUUUAUUGAUUACCUUAUAAGAAACGACAUGGUGUGUCAUUUAUCCAGGGGUAAUUAAAGACUUUCGCAAGUUAUAAGUGAAUUAAUUACAUUAUGACUCCUUGUUGAAUGUCAUUCUAUUCGAAAUAAAAUAUUUGAGAUACAAUUUUAAGAAAUGUAUCCAGAAAAAAAUUUGUAUCUUGAAAAUUUCUCAUAAAUUAACAACCUUACAGCGCAAGGAUUCUCUUGCCUAACAGCCUAAGUAAAGCAUAAAUUUUCCUUCAAAGCUGUAUGAUUUCAUAUUCUUUAGCCGCUCCAUGAAGUAUUUGAUGAUGUUUGCUGUAUAUAUUCGAAUUGAUUUUCACAAAAAGGAGUUACUUUCUGCGGAAACUACUCUUUUGCCCCCCGUAGUUUGAGUCAUUCAUCAAUUACUACAUAAAGUUUUAAACAUUACCCAGAAAAUCUCUGUCGUUACUUCUGUAGUUAUUGGAUACAAUGAGUAGAUUUUCACGGAAACAAAUACAUAGCAAAAACCUAUUUAUUCUUUUUUUCAUUUUAAAGUAUAUAGACUAACUGAGUAAUUCGCUCCAAGUCUCAAAUUAUAGGGAGGAAACGGACAUUUACUUUCAUAUUCACAAACUUUUCUUUCCAUAUACUUAGCUUCUUGCCUGACAAUCUCGAUGGCUUCUUUGAGAUGCUACGCGCACAAGCACAAUCAAUUGAAAACCCUCUUUGAAGUCACGCAUGGGAUCGGAUAUCAAUUUAGUACUGACUUUUACUGUAAAUUGGACAAACAAUUGCACAUGGAAUGUAAAGGGUGAUUUUCCUUGUUCUGACAUUGAAGUGGUCUUCAAGCAAAGACCUUGGUCAAGAAAACUUAUGAAUGGGGACAAAGUCAUGAGUUGGCUCAGUUGAUUAACUAUAUAUGAUUCGAUUUUUUUUCCUAAAUUGUAGAAAAUUUUUACACACAUAACCAAAAUUCUCUUAUUAUGCACGAGUUUCUUCGGAGUACAACUUCAGGCGGUGAUAGUGAUUUAGGUUUGAAAAUAUUGUUUUAAGUAUUUCUGUAAGUAGAAUUUUUUUUCCCCCUCAAGUUGAUUAGAUAGAGAAUUUAGCUAAAAAUAAUAAAGAAAAAAAAAUGCUUUCGUGGAAAUUGGAUGGUCUUUCUUCUGUUCAACGAAUAAUGAAUGCAUUUUAAUUUGGCAGUUAGGGAAUUCGAGAAAUUUUCAAUAUUCAUUCAUUCACUCUGUGUUUAUCUGUAUUUUCAAUUUUCAAUUUUCAAUAUUCAUUCAUUCCUAAAUUGUGAUCUUCAUUGAGCACAAUGUUGUGCGAGUUUUUUGGCUUAGGCCUAGUGCCCUGGGCCGUGCCUAAGAAGAAAAGCACGACAAGUUUUUUUUUAAAAUGUUUUUUAAGAGGACAUGCCAGGUUUUUGGCGUAGUUUUUUCAAGCCCGUGUAUUUUUCUUUUGGGUACACGUGUCCUUAUUUUAAUUCGAUAGAAUCAAAAAGUUCAAAACUCAUGUCCAUAUUCAAUAAUAAUAAACUAAUAAUAAUAAGAGAAUGUAAUACUAACUACCAAGUUAGACCCUAUGAUAUUAGAAUUCUUUUUUAAUACUUGACAACAACAACAACAAUAAAUUUUCUUAGGAGCUAACUUAGUUGUUAACUUGAACUUACAUAGAGUCAUAAAUCAUAGUCCAUAAUGACAUUAAUACAUACAUGAUAUUUUUAUUUUUAUUUUGUUAAAAGCAUGAUAUCGUCUAUUUAUUUGAUAAAUUAUAAACAUAAAACAAUUAGAUUUUUUUAAACUAAGAAUUAAAUGAAUAUAGAAAAUUUAUGGCAAUAAAAUAAAUUAAAAUACUCAAUUUCAAGUUACUUAUUAAAUCGUAAAAUUUUAAGUUUACUUUCGUUAAAAAAUUUCAUUAAAAAGUGAAGCAUGCUCAUUACUAGCUUUUUUUACAUGUCAUGUUUUAAUCCAUUUCUAAUCGUACCAUACUUUUAAGGCCCGUGUGAUUAAAAUCAUCAUCCCAGCCCAGCUCUCGUAUGUGACGUGCCAUGCCGCAUACCCUACCAAAACAUACUCAUACUGUGCCAUACUAUACAGAUAAAUGUUGUGCUCAUGCUGUGCCACGUGCUGUCCAGGCCGUUGGCCUCUCUAUUCUAGACUAAUAGGUAGCCGUGAGAGUUCAUCAUCAAAUUCAUCUAUUGCUUAAUGAAGGAAAUUGAAGCAUGUGAUGUGGUUACAUGAAAUAAGAUUGAGAAUGAAUGAUUUUAAUAAGCUAAGGUAACGUUGAUUUCAAUAUUUUGUUUGCUUACAGCUUAGUUUAUUGCUGACCCACUAAUCACUUAACUCCUAUCUUCCCAAAAAACAAAAAAGAUAAAAUAUGAGUUGGAGACAGCCAAAAACCACAAAAAUAAAGAAAAAUGAAUGGAAAAAAGUAGGCUAAUUAAAGUGGACGGAAAGGAUUACAAUGGAGAGAAAGCUAUUUAAGGAAAUUUGAAGAUGAUGGACAUGUGAUCCUCUAAAGCAAAGUUUAAUUCCAAUGAUGACUCAUUGUUUCCUAAUUGAUUACAAGUUUCAAGAGAGAAUUGAUUUAUUAUAAAUUUACAACGUGAUUGAAGCAUGCCUGUCGCUUUAGUUCGAUUGAGAAAUAUAGCCCAAUCAAGAUUGAUAAUAAUUAUACAUUGGAUUAUUGAAUUGAUUGGUAGAACUAUUAACCAACAAAUUAAAUGCUGUGCUUGAGAAAAAAGAGGCUCAAAUUAUUGAUUAAUUAAUUUUGCAAGAAAUUUUCUCCUCUCUUUGAUUCCAUUACAAUAUUGCUGCAGUUGAAUUUGAAGUUUGAAUAUUCUAUUAAUGAAUAAGAAUAUAUAAUGUUCGAACAAGGAAUUCAAAUAUGCAGUUUGUGAGCAGUAAUAGAAAACUCUCCUUGUAAUUGUCCCUUUCAUGUCUUUGACAGAAUGGGAAAUUGAGUUAUUGCAUUUCUUUGAAUUUAUGUUGUAAAAUAAUUUUUACGCAACCUCAAGCCGAGCCCACCUCUUGUUGCUUAUGUAUCCUUUAUCGGAUUCAAUUACUAAUCACAAAUUAUCACUCUAUUUAAAUUCUAACCACUAAUUUUUGUAUUUUAAUCCUCCUUUCAAAAAAUAAGAAAUAAAGAAAAAAAAAUAAACCACUAAUUUUAGUGCUUAUUCAAAAUUCUUUUUCCCAAAAUAGAAACUAGGCUUUCGUUUUUCCUCCUUUUUGUCCUUUUCAUGGGAUCAAAAUCUUAUACUUGGAAACAGCUAUUGAGUUAUCUGCAAUAAAUAAUAAUAAAUAAGAUGGAAAAUUUUACACUGGAAAUCAUUAAAAUUUGUAAUGUCAUAAUCUUAAUCUUAUACGUAAUAUUUGGAAAACGUGUUGGAGAUGAACCUAAACAAAUGCAUCUGCAUGAUCCCAAUUACAGAACUCUCUCUUGUAACCUAAAGCUUUUCUAGCUCUUAGCCUCAGGCUCAAAUUCGUAAACAAAUGUCACCGGAAACACAAAUUAAAAGUAAAUGACUCCUUAAGGUUUUUUGGUCAUUAGUGGUUAACUAGCGUUGAAGUGGGAAUGUUUUUGAAAGUAUUGCCAAUUAUCUUAAUUAGAGACAAUUAAUACGAAUAAUAAUUAUAUUUUUAUUGUUGCCGAAUUGAGAUCAUGAUAUUUUUGUUAAGUCAAAUGCAACCGUUUGGUAUGGUAGGUGAUGCCUCACGUCAUCAAGUUCUAUUUGGUAUGGCGGGUGAAAUUUUUGUUAUUAAAGGUAUCUUUGUUAUUAUCAUUGAAUUUACAUACCUUUCUAUUUUACACCUGGAUAUAAAAGUGAUUUUGCCGGCCCUAUGAUAUCAAUCGGUAAGGAAUAAUUUUACUGGUAAAAAUAAAAUAAAAUAAAACGUACAACAAAAUACAACUGAAUAAAAUGAUAACAAUUAGAUCUAUCAGUAAUUUUGUUUUGGCAAAUAAGGAGUAACUUUGUCUUUUGCUUGAGGACGAUCGGUAGGGAUAGGCAAUAAAACUCAUGAAUCGAAUAAAUUGUAAUUCGAACUGCCGGUUUGAUUCAGUUUUAUAAAUGAGAAAACUGAUUGAUUCGAUUUUUGAUAAACCAAUAAACAUGUCUUAUUUUUUUAUUCAGUCCAUUGAAUUUGAAACCAGUACCCGAAAGAACCAGGCUGACAUUGGAGCCCGUUUCAAUGGAACAUGCAUUUUAAUAAAUUAAGGUAACCACAUAGAUAUCUACAAUAAAGUUCAAUAUACGUUAAAGCUUUCAAUUUUUUAGUAUCAAGUGUUUGACGUGGUUUUGGGCCGAUGGAAAAUAGCAAAUAUCAGUAAACUUAAUUAUUGUUAAGCUAAUUCUUAAGUUAAUUCUGUGGUUUCUAAUCUCUAAACACUGUGUUUUGAAGAAAUACUUGAUUUCCGCACUAAAUAAAAAAGAUUUCUUUUUUUUUUUUUUUCGGAACACCAUUAAAUAAAAAUGCUAACCAUACAUAUACGUCUUUCCGUCAAAAUCUGUGUCAAAUAUUUACUUGUCGAACUCUUUCAAUUCCCCAUUUCCCUAUAUGGGGAUAAUAAAUGCACUUAUAGAGCAAGAACAUUGUCCGGUAAUAUACCACUUUUGGCCAUUUUUUAACUCACAAACUGAAUGCAUGAAAAAAAAUCUUGGCCAUUUUUCAAUUUUAAUGGCUUCGUUGUUGACUUUGGUGAAAAGCAAGAAAUUUCAUGCUAGCACAUGCAAUUACAGUUAAAAAGUUGAUAGCCAUAUGCUGUCCUUCCAUUGAAAAGCAAGAAAUUUCAUGUAGAUUUUCUUUUCCAAAUCACCCUCAUUGUAGUCUAUUCAUUCAUUCUGAGUGUAACCAUUUGCUACCAAUAUAGCCUUGUAUGAAUUUUAUUCUUAUUAGGAAAUCAUUCCUUAUUUGUAUAUGCCUAUUUGCACCCAAUUUACUUGUAACCAACUUCUAAGUUCCAUUUUUAUGAAGAGACUGCAUUUCUUCAUUCAUUGCUAGCUUCCAUUGUAUACUUUCAGGGCUACUUACUACUUUUCUAUAAGUGAAAGAAACAUCAUCAUCUACAAUUAAAAAUACAUAGGCCAUCAUAUCAACAAAGCGAGCAGGUCUGUGAAUCUCCAUUUGUGGCCUUCUAUAUGCAAUUGAAUUUUGUUAUUGUGAAGGUUCCUGGGUCAGGACCUCUUCUUCAUCCUUAGUCGAUAAAGAAUCAUUUUCCGUCUCAUUGACUCCAGCUAGAUCAGCUUUAAGCUUUUCAAAAUCGACCUGUUGCAAAGUACCAUUAGUUUUGUCAUCCUUUUGUAAAUCUUUUUGUUUCAACAUGCCUGAUUCAUCAAAAGUCACAUCUUUGCUGAAAAUAAUCUUAUUUGUAACAAGACACUAGAGACGAUAUCCUUUUACUCCAUUGGUUAUAUCGUUUACAUGAUAAUAAGCAGUGGAACCAAAAACUUGUAAGAAUCAUAAUCACUAGUAGGUCUACCAGUCCACAUCUCCAUGGGUGUUUUACCUUCAAUUGCAGCUGAUGGAAAAUAGUUGAUCAGAUGGCACACAUAUACAACUGCCUCAGCCCAAAAUUUCUUGCCCGAUCCAGUAUUGGACAACAUAUACUGAACUUUCUCCAGUAUAAUCUGGUUCAUGCAUUCUACCACCUCAUUAUGUUGUAGUAUAUCGUAAACAGUGAAGUGUCGUACAAUGCCCUCAUCUCGGCAUAUUUGUAGAAAUGGAUCAUUCUUGCACUCACCACCACUGUCUGAGCAAACUCUUUUCACCUUUCGACUAGUCUGAGCCUCCUUUUUUUCCAUUUAAAAAAUGUGCUGAAACUUCAUUCUUGUUUUUCAUCAAAUACACCCAUAUUUUUCUUGAAUAAUCAUAAAAAAAAGUAACAAAAUAGUACAUACCUCCCAAAGAAGCUGUUUUGGUAGGUCCUCAUAUGUCACUGUGAACAUAGUUUAGAAUUCCUUUUGUAUCGUGAAUUGCUGAACCAAACUUUACCCUUGCCUGCCUGCCUAUAAUAGAAUGUUCAUAAAAUUCCAAUUUGUAAGAAUAUGCACCUUUCAAUAAGCCCUGUUUUACCAAAGUUUGCAAUGCUUUUUCACCAGCAUGUCCCAAAUGUAUAUGCCACAACCUGGUUGCUUUUGAAUCUGCAUUUUUUUCCAUAAAUUGUUGAUGCUGAUCCAAUAACUGUACUUCCUUGGAAAUAGUAUAAGUUAUUUCUUCUUGUGCCUUUCAUCACUGUCAGUACACAAGCUACUACUUUUAAAAAUCCAUCUUUCAGAGUGUUUGUAAGCCCUUUAGAUUCUAGGACUCCUAAUGAGAUGGGAUUUUUCUUUAAACUUGGUACGUAAUGAACGUUUGUCAAGACUUAGAUUGAGCUGUCAUGAUUCUUCAAUUGGAUUGUACCUAUUCCCAUGGUUUUAUAGGCAUUGUCAUUGCUUAUAAAAACAACUCCACCGUGCAGUUCCUUGAAGCUAGAAAACCAGUCCUUGUUAGGACACAUGAUAAGUACAACCCGAAUCCAAAAUCUAUUCGUCUGAGUGACAUGUCAAUGUCAUGCCAAUCAAACUAAAGUCUGACUCCUCAUCAUGCUCUGCUACACAUACAUAAAAAAUAGCCUUACCCUUUUAUAGCUUAGGCCAAUUCUUUUUCCAAUCCCUUUUUGACGACAAAAGGCAUAUUCAUCUUUGGCAGGCAUUCCUUUAGACUUGCUCUUUUUGUCCAAGUUUGCGGCUUUGUGAAUGACCUCUCAUUGUCAAUGCUUCGACAAUUGUAUCCCUGUGAUCCUUUCUGUCUUUCUUUCUAGUCUUAGAGUUGUACAACACACUGCAUACAACAUCAAAUGUGAAACUGCCCAUCCUAUGAAGCAAAGUGGUGGUGAGAUAAUCAUAUUUAAUAUGAAGAGAAUUCAACAUCAACAAUACCUUAUCUUCAUCUUCAAAUUUCUCAUCCAAAUUUAACAAAUCUGCCAAUAUCUUGUUAAAUGAGUUUACAUGAUCAUUCAUCAACAUGCUAGUGCAUACAUGAAUCGAUUGAGUCUUUUCUUUGUAUAAAGCCUAUUUUUUAGGCGUUUAUUCAUGUACUUUUCUUUUAGUGUUUCCCACAAUUUCUUUUUUGAUGUUUCUAUUAUGACAAAGUACUUUUGAUCUUUAGCCAGACAUAAACUAAUAGUACCACAUGCCUGUCUAUUGAUAUUUAUCCACUCCUUGUCAUCCAUUUUGUCAGGCUUUUCUUCAAGAGCGAGCUCCAACUCUUGCUGACAUAAGACAUUCAACACCUUACACUGCCACAUACAAAAAUUAUUGGUACCAUUGAAUUUCUCCACUUCCAAUUUUGCAUUAGUCAUAGUAGUUCUUGCUAAUGAAGACAACGACAACGCAUAUGCCAUCCUUCUUAACUCAAAAUACUAGUGUCUUCAACAAUUAUUUACACUUGAAAAACAACCUCUAUGAUGUUAAUUUCGUGUGAAUAAAUGCACCAAGAAAGUUUUGAGUAGAAUGGAGGGGUCACAACAGUCCCAUUUAAAACCCAGACUCUUUAGACUCUUAUCACCUUGUUAACAGAACAUUCCUCGACAUGCAUAAAUACACACUACUUACAAUAGGCGGUCUCCCAAGUACAAAUGCAACUAAAUCUUCAUAGUUAUGCUACAUCAUAGUUGUAGCAAAAUAAAUUAGUUUAUGAAUAUAUAAAGAGAAUGUAUAAAUUUAAUUGGGAACAUUUAAGCAAAGCAAUAUAGAAAAGGAAAUAAAAACUCAUGAAUUAAUCUUAGCUUCUCUCUAGAUCUCUUGUAACGGCUACUUCUCUUCCUCUUGGCUUCUUGAUGAGCAUAUUAUACACACAAACACAUACUAGAUUUUAUGAAAAAAAAAGUUCAUUUAUAAGAGAGAACAAAUAUUUCUCUUUUUUCCCCAAAUACGAAUUUUACAUAAUACAAGAGCCGCCGCUAUUUUGAAUUGAAAAGGGUCUUGCAUAGCGAAGUGAUACUCUGGGGGUCUCACAAGAAAGAAUGAUUUCUUUCAAUUGACUAUUCGUACAUUGUGUUUUCGCAUAAAUAGGGACAACAAAGCUCGAUGAAAAAAAUGGUGGUUCAAUUCGAUGUUCUAAUGACAAGGGGAAUUAAAAUACCAAUGUUGGUUAGUAAAUAAAUGGAGAACCCUAGUCCUAUUACAAAUCUCAGUGUAAACGAGGAACUAAUUAGAAAUAUAUUACCCUUCGUUUUAUAUUUACUAGGUAUUUUUAUUUGAUAAUUUUAGUUAAUUGCAUUAUUUUAUUAAACAUGUAAUUUAUUGAAGAUUAAGAAAUAAACAAUGCUUAAAAGAAUCAAAUUGGAGGGAAUUAGAAGUUAUUGAGAUUAAGCAUGAAGAUUCAAAGCCGCACAUCAAAGAAGAGAAAUUAAACAUAAAGUCGAAGCCAUGAUGAUGUUAAAAGAAUUAUGCGUGCAAGUAAUUAGAAGGGGAACCAAAUCAAAGGAAAGAAGAUUGUGGGCUUUUACAAGUGUAAAGUGUUUUAUAUCUUAGGAUUUGGCUUGCAAAAAUGAUGUAGUCGGCUGCUUUAAGUGGCUUGGCCAUUAUAUAUGCCAAGUUUUUGGCUUUCACGAGGGAGACGAAUUCAGAAGGGAUGACUGCUUGGAUUAAUGUAGGUGACCGAUUUUAUCUUAUUUUUCAUUCCCAAUUCAAUUAUGUACUAGGGUUAAGGAUGAAGUCCUAUUUAAUAAAAUAAAUUACUUUUAUUCAAUUAAUUUCCUAUAUGUGUGCUUUAACGUUCAUGGUUCUUGUUUCAUAUGUUUGGUUAAAUAUAGUUAAAUUUUUUCACUAUUUCUGUCAUGUGAUAUUGAUUGUUAGAUUAAUAUUUGACUAAAUUUAUCCUUGGAUCUAUAAAAGCUUAUAUACGAUUGUCUUUGAUUUUGUGUCUUGCAUUAGAUUAUUUACACAGAGUGCUUAGAAAUAUUUUAACUAUUUAUUAGUUAAUAUGUUUAUAUGGGAUGCUUAGAUGUCAUACUAGUAAGUAGAAAAAGAAUCUUCACCAAACCACUCAAGCUAGAAGAUUUUAUAAGAUUUAGAAAUAUACUUGGUGUCGUAAAACAAGUUUAAGAGAGAGUGUUGAAAACAAUAAACUUGUUUUACACAAAUAAUUCAGUCAAGUGGAAUGAGGUAUUGAGUUGCACAUGGCCCUUCAUCAUGCUUCAUCAUCAUGGUCCUACAAUAUUAUGCCCAUGAAGCAUCUAAUUGAGUAGAGGUUAGCUUUACACUUUGGAUGCCAUUAAAAGAUUCAUUUAGAGCAUGUUAGGUGAGUGGAAUAUGUUUGGUUCUAUGAUGAAAGCUUGGUGGAACAUGUUAGGUGAUGUGUAUUGUUAUGAUUAUGUUUGUGUUUCAUUCACUAUAAAUACCUAUGCCAUUUGUGUUGUAUGCAUCAAGUGUAAGAAGAAGAAAGCAAAAGAAGCAAAAUAACUUCUAAGAGUAAUUUGUGUAGAGUGUGUGAAUUGUUCUUGUAAUGUUUUUGAGCUUUCUCUAAUAAAAUUUCUGUUUUAUUCUUUAAAUUCUCCAACAAAGUGGUAUUAGAGCUAGUGUUCGAUACUAUAUAUAGUCGCAUAUCAAAUCGAAGAUCUCAACGAGAGGAACGCGACACCGUAAAAAUUAUCCCGAUCGAAGUUCGGACGCGCCUACACUCGCCGCCAGAAGUUUCUAUCUUGAAGCUGAGUCGACUCACCGAGAUAAUUCAAGUUGAACCAAGUCGAACCAAGCUAAACCAACUCGGAUUUGAGUUGACCAAAGUUGACUGUUGAUUGGAGUUAACCAUUACCGGCAUUGAUCAUUGACUGGCGUUGACCGUUGACCAAAAGUUGAUCCGAGUUCUUCCUAAGGUUUUUCGACAUUCCGGAUCCAUUCGUGCAUUUAAAAUCUUCAAAUUGUCACCCAAUUUGUAAGUUAUGGAAAAUGGUGGUAUGAUGUUAUUUCAAGUUUCACAAUUAAAAGGAAGUAAGUUCGACAAUUAGAGUAUCAAAAUAAAGGCUCUAUAGGGUGCACAUAAUGUAUGGGACGUCAUAGAGGAAGGUUUUACUCUACCAGAAAAUGAAGCUACUUUAACUGCGGUGUAAAAGGAGAAUUUAAAAGACUUAACGAUUGCUAGUGCAACCUCUUCAAAAGAAGUAUGAGAGAAGCUAAAGACCUUUUACAAAGGGGCGGGGUAAGUUAAGAAGGUUUGUCUCCAAACAUUACGAGGAGAAUUUGAGUCCUUACGCAUGAAGGCAUCCGAGUUGAUUUUUGACUAUUUUACUUGAGUUGUGACCAUUUCCAAUGAACUAAAAAGAAAUGAUGAGGAGUUAAAAGAGGUAAGGAUCAUUGAAAAGAUACUUUGAUCAGUAGACUCAAAGUUUGACCAUAUUAUUGUGACAAUUGAGGAAACAAAAGAUUUAAAGGCAAUGACGAUGGAGCAACUUCAAGGAAUGUUGCAAGCUUAUGAAGAAAAAUUGAAAAAGAAGCAAGAAGUUGAAAACCAACUUCUCAGAUGGAAGUCAAUCCAAAUAAAAGAGAAGAAAGCACCGACAAUGGGAAAAGACAAUAUGUCCGAGGUAGAGGUCAAGGAUAAGGAAGAGUCAUGGUUAUGGACGAGGUUGGAAUAUCAACAACUCCAAUUAUGAAAAAGAAGAAAGCUCAACCAGAGGAUGAGGUAGAGGCAAUUCGAGAUCGAGGUAUGACCAAUUCUAAGUACAGUGCUAUAAUUGUUAAAAGUUUAGGCAUUAUGCUUCAGCAUGUAGAGCUCCAAGUACUAGAAUUAAUGAAGAGAGUGAAUUAUAUUGAAGAGAAGAAUGGUAAAAAUGAUACACUUUUACUAGCACGCAAUAAUACUAGAGAAGGUCAAGAAAAAAUAUAGUAUCUGAAUACAGGUGCUAGCAAUCACAUGAGCAGAAACAGAAGCAUGUUUGUAGAACUAAAUAAAUCUAUGAAUGGCAAUGUCACUUUUGGAGAUGAUUCAAAAGUACUAGUAAAGGGUAACAUUAACAUUUUUUUUUCGUGCAAAAGAUCUGCCUAGUAUGAAAAGCAAUAUCCUCAGUUUAGGUCAACUCUUGGAAAAAGACUAUGAUAUUCACUUAAAAGAUUAUAAUCUUUUUCUAAGAGAUGAUAAAGGAAAUUUAAUUACAAGGGUGAGAAUGUCGAAGAAUAGAAUGGUUCCUUUAAAUAUUUAAAAUGAUAUUGCAAAGUGUCUCAAGGCUUGUCACAAAGAUCCAACCUAGAUUUAGCAUCUUCUAUUUGGGCAUCUCAACUUUAGUCGACUAGAAUUACUAUCAAAGAAGAACAUGGUGACAGGCUUACCUUCAACCAAUCAUCCUAAUCAACUUUAUAAAGGAUGUUUACUUGGCAAGUAGUUUAGAAAAAGCUUUCCAAAGAAGUCAAACUCAAGAGCUCGGAAGCCACGCGAGCUUAUUCAUACUGAUGUGUGCGAUCCAUUCAAGCCAAGUUCCCAUGGUAAAAGUAACUACUUUCUUUUUUUCAUUGAUGAUUUUUCAAGAAAAACUUGGUUGUAUUUUUUGAAGCAGAAGUCAGAAGUCUUUGAAUCUUUCAAGAAGUUUAAAGCUGCAGUGAAAAAAAAAUGGAUACUAUAUUAAUGCCAUGAGAUUUGAUCGAGGUGGAAUGUUUACUUCUAAAGAAUUCAUAGAAUUUUAUUAAGCAAAUGAAGUUCGACGCACUUUAACAAUUUUAAGAUCCCCCCAACAAAAUGGUGUUGCAGAAAAGAUGAACAGAAUCAUCCCCGACAUGGCAAGAAGCAUGCUCAAGAGUAAGAGGCUACCUAAAGAAUUUUGGGCUGAAUCUGUUGCAUGUGCAGUCUACUUAUCCAAUCGAUCUCCAAUAAGAGGUGUACAAGGCAAGAUGCCACAAGAAACAUAGAGUGGAAGGAAGCCCGUCAUUGCCCAUAUGACAGUUUUUGGAAGCAUUUACCCAUGUACAUGUACCAAUAGAGAGAAGAGUCAAGCCGGAUGACAAAAGUGAGAAAUUCAUCUUCAUUGGCUAUGACAAUAAUCCCAAAAGAUACAAGUUGUACAAUCCAAACAACGGGAAGAUCGUGAUUAGCCAAAAUGUAAUUUUUUAUGAAGAAGGAGAAUGAGAUUUUGUCUCUAGUGUGGAUGACUUCAACUUCUUUCUUAUUGAAGAAGAUGAUCAUACACAGAUAAAACAAGUAGAAGAACAACAAGAGCCAGCUACUCCACCUAUCUCACUAGCAUCAAUCACAAGUGGAGAUUCACCACCAUCUUUCUUAAAUGAAAGAAUUGAUAAAUGUACAAGGAGUCUUAAAGAUCUCUAUGAGGUAACUGAGAGACUUGACAAUCUCACUCUCUUUUGCUUCUUUGCUGAUUGCGAGCCAAUCAACUUCCAAGAAGAUGCACAAGAUGAGAAGUGGAGAAUCGCAAUGGAUGAAGAAAUCAAAACUAUCAUGAAGAAUGACACUUGCGAACUUAUUACUCUUCCCAGAGGUCACAAGGCGAUCGAUGUCAAAUGGGUGUACAAGACGAAGAGAAAUUGUAGGCACAAAGCAAGACUGAUUGCAAAAGGUUAUAGUCAAAAGUUUGGCAUAGACUAUGACGAAUGGUGUGUAUUUUCUCUGUUAUGAAUGUCAAUGUGCAAGUAUACACAACAAGUAAUAUAAUGAUAAGUAUUCGAGAUCGUCUUCACAGGGACUGAUGCUAUCGGAUUUGCUAUAACAAUCCUUUGACAGUAUAAUUUUUGUUCUAAAUUAAGAUAAGAUAAUUAAUUAAACGAAUAAAUUAAUAAAAAUAAAAAUGCAAUAAUUAAAAAUAUACUAAAUAAAAUUCUCACGUCAAACACAAUGAUAAAACCAAUAAGAAUGGAGUAGUUGAGUUAUUAAACUCUCUUAAUGGUUUUGACCGUCUCUUUUAAUUUUUUGUUCAGUUGCCACAACAUCUGCUAUAGCACUGCGCAGAAUCCUUAUGUAUCCUCAGCUGUCGCUUGUUGGAUAUCUUAUACCUUAAUGUAAUUUAACAGUAACCAAUUGCUAUGCUAACAUAAGAUAUAUCAUUACACGUUUAGGUUCUAUUUAUACUAUAAGGUGAAUCCUUAUGUCAGUUCAUCACUAAUUUUAGAUCAAGCAUGACCAUUUUGGAAUCAAGUUAAACUCAAUUCAGGAAACUCAAUAUAAAACCAAGUAUUGCUCUACUAUGUUCCACUAAGAUAGGCCAUUUUGUGGCUUUUUCUUAGCUUAUAUCACUAAAUGGGCGGUCAGCUAAAAUAGUGAAUUAAAAUAAGUAUUAUCAAAACAACAUGCUAUAGCAAACAUGCAUCAACACAUAUAUUCAGUUAAGUAACCAUCAAGAAUAUUUAUCACUCAAUCACAAAUAAAUUUAGCUCACGUUUUGCAAAAGAAAAAUAAAUAAAAGAGUUUCAGCCAUCAAAUACAGCCCCAUGAUUAAAGAGUAAACAAGUAAACAAGAAAGAUUAAGAAGAACUGUUUUUCCAAUUGAUCUCUGUAAAUUUUCUCUUCUGAUGCAGCCCCAAAUCUUGCUCUUCAAUUUUGUUUUCCUCUUGUUUAUUUUCGGUUCUUCUUCUUUGUUGACGGCUCCUCUUUUCUUUUGCGUGUGUGCUUCUUUUAUAAUUGAAAAUUAGGACAACCGCAAGUCUAGGGCACGUAUCUUCCAGAUUUAGAAACUGUAGAUCGUAAUCUUAUAAGUAUCUCGCACGAAAUCUUCUUUGUCAAUGCUCUAGGAUUGCUACAGCAACGGUUGCUGCAGUAACAGGUACAAAAUCUGCAUUAUUCCAGACUUCUUUCAAUUCUUCUGUAGCUAAGUUCUUUCCUUAUUUUUGCAAGCUUAUUGCAGCAGCAUUCCUCCUUUGAAAUUUGAGCCUCCGAUCACCUACAACUAUGCACUCAAUCUAAGCACACAAAUUAUUAUAACACAACAUAGUUUAUUAAAAAUAAACUAAAAUAGAUAUUCAUGCAGAAUACAACUAGAAUGCAAUAAGAAUAUGUCAUUUACUCUCUAAGUAAUCUUGAUUUAAGUUUAAAAGUGUCAUAAUAACUCUCAUUUCAUAGAGUUAUCAAUAAGGCAUUUACUGCUGUAGCCUGACUUGAAGUUAUUAGGCUUAUUAUUUCUUUGGCUGCUCGGAAAAAAAUGGAAGGUUUUUCAAUUAGAUGUGAAGUCUGCCUUCUUGAAUGGAUUCCUCGAAGAAGAAGUUUAUAUAGAACAACCAUUAGGCUAUGUGGUGAAAGGACAUGAAGACAAAGUUCUAAAAUUGAAGAAAACUCUUUAUGGGUUAAAGCAAACACUAAGGGCACAAAAUAGCAGAAUUGACAAGUAUUUUCAAGAAAAUGGCUUCACCGAAUGCCCAUAUGAACAUGCUCUCUACAUUACAAAAAAAGAUGGAGAUAUUUUGAUUGUAUGUCUGUACUUGGAUGAUCUCAUCUUCACUGGAAGUAAUCCAAGCUUAUUUGAAGAUUUCAAGAGAGUGAUUGAUGGCAUAUUAUCUCAGCAUUGAAGUCAAGUAUCAUGAAGAUGACAUUUUCAUUUCUUCAGAAAGUUAUGCAAAUGAGAUAUUCAAAAAGUUCAAGAUGUGAUUGCAAUCCAAUAAGCACACCAAUGGAGUGCAGAGUCAAGUUAUCCAAGUAUGAUGAAGGAGAAGAAGUAGAUCCAAUUUUUUUCAAAAGCCUUGUUGGAAGUCUGCAUUACUUGACAUGUAUGAGACCUGACAUCCUUUAUGCUGUUGAACUUAUAAGUUGAGACAUGGAGAAUCCAAAUAUCACUCAUUUCAAGACUGUAAAAAGAAUCCUUCGUUAUAUCAAAGGUACAAUUGAUUUUGGCUUGUUAUAUUCAUUGCCUAAUGACUACAAGCUUGUUAGAUAUAGCGACAACGAUUUGGGUAGAGAUGUAGAUGAUCGAAAGAGCACUACCAGAUUUGUGUUCUUUAUAGGAGAUACUGCUUUCACAUGGAUGUCAAAGAAGCAACCAAUUGUCACACUUUCCACUUGUGAAACCAAGUACGUAACUGCUACAUUAAGUGUUUGCCAUGCAAUUUGGCUCAGAAAUUUACUGAAGGAGUUGGGUUUACCACAAGUAGAGCCAACCAAGAUUUAUGUGGAUAACAAGUCAGCAAUUGCUCUAUUCAAGAAUCCAGUCUUCCAUGAUCGAAGUAAACAUAUCGAUACUCGCUAUCAUUAUAUAAGAGAAUGCAUCACAAGAAAGGAUACACAAGUUGAUUGGGUGAUGUCAAAAGAUCAAGCAGUUGAUAUUUUCAUCAAACCACUCAAGCUAGAAGAUUUUAUCAGAUUCAGAAAUAUACUUGGUGUCAUAAAACAAGUUUAAGGGAGAGUGUUGAAAACAAUAAACUUGUUUUACACAAAUAAUUCAUUCAAGUGGAAUGAGGUGUUGAGUUGCACAUGGCCCCUCAUCAUGCUUCAUCAUCAUGGUCCUACAAUAUUAUGCCCAUAAAGCAUUCAAUUGAGUAGAGAUUAGCUUUACACUUUAGAUGCCAUUAAAGGAUUCCUUUAGAGCAUCUUAGGUGAGUGGAAUAUGUUUGGUGCUAUGAUGAAAACUUGGUGGAACAUGUUAGGUGAUGUGUAUUGUUAUGAUUAUGUUUGUGUUUCAUUCACUAUAAAUACCUAUGCCAUUUGUGUUGUAUGCAUCAAGUGGAAAAAGAAGAAAGCAUAAGAAGUAAACUAGCUUCAAAGAGUGAUUUUUGUAGAGUGUGUGAAUUGUUCUUAUAAUGUUUUUGAGCUUUCUCAAAUAAAAUUUGUGUUUUAUUCUUCAAAUUCUCCAACAAUUUGAGCAUUAGCAGGGAUAUAAAAUUACAUCAAAUCAAAAUACCAUAGUAUAUUUGUAGACUAAUAGCUAGCUGUACAUGAGAGUUCAUCAUGAAAUUCAUCUAUUGCUUUAUAAACCAAAUUGCAUCUAUGCGAUGUGGGUCCAUGAAAUGAGAUUGAGAAUUAAUGAAUCUAUUAAGCUAAGGUAACUUUGAUUUAAUGAGAUUGAGAAUUAAUGAAUCAAAUAAGCUGAGGUAACUAUGAUUUUGAUAUUUUGUUUGCUUAUUGCUUAGUUCAUGACUGACCCACUAAUCAGUAAGCCCGAACACACCCCCCCCCAAAAAAAAACCAAAAAAAGGAUAAAAUAUGAGUUGGAGACAGCCAGAAACCACAAAAAUAAAGAAAAAUGAAUGGAAAAAGAAUAGGCUAAUUAAUGUGGAUAAAAAUGAUGACAAUGAAGAGAUAGCUAUUUAGGAAUUUUGAAGAUGAACUUGCGAUCCUAGAAAGCAAAGUUUAAUUUUAAUGAUGAGUCAUUGUUCCCUAAUUAAUAAAAAGUUUCAAGAGAGAAUUGAAUUAUUACAAAUUGACAAUGUGAUUGAAGCAUGCUUGUCACUUUAGCUCGAUGGAAUUAUACAGUCCAAUCAAGCUUGAUAAUAGUCAUUAGUGUUUAUUCAAAAUAAUUUUUCCCAAAAUAGAAAACAUGCUUUCCUUUUUCCUCCUUUUUAAUUUGUCCUUAUCAUGGGACCAAAUCUAAUACUUUGAAAGAACUAUUGAGUUAAUUGCAAUAAUAAAUAAGAUGGAAAAUUUUACAUUGGAAAUCGUUAAAAUUUACAAAAUCAUAGUCUUAAUCUAAUUUGUAAUAUUUGGAAAACGUGUUAGAGAUUAACCCCAAAGCCUUUGUAACCUAAAGCCUUUCUAGCUCUCAGCCUCAGGCUCAAAUUCAUAGACAAAUGUCACUGAAAACACAAUUUAAAAGUAAAUGAUUCCUUAAGGUUUUGGACUUUGGUCAUUGAGUGUUUAACUGGCUUUGAAGUGGGAAUGUCUUUCAGCAACAUGAAUGAUAAUUAUAUUUUUAUUGUUGCUGAAUUAAGAUCAUGAUAUUUUUGUUAAGUCAAGUGCAACCAUUUGGUAUGGUAUUGUGGGUGAUACUUCACACUAUCAAGUUGUAAGAAAGGUAUCGUUGUUAUAUCAUUGAUCAAUUUAAUUACCUUUCUAUUUUACACUUGGAUACAAAAGUGAUUUUGCAGGCCCUUUGAAAACAAACGGUAAGGAAUGAUUUUACUGGUAAAAAUAAAAUGUACAAGAACAUAAAACUGAAUAAAAUGAUAACAAUUAGAUCCACGAGUAAUUAUCUUUUGUAACUUUGUCUUUUGCUUGAAGACGAUGGGUACCUGGGCCGGUGCUGGCAAUAAAACUCAGGAACAGAAUAAUUAAAUUGUGAUUCGAACUGUCAGUUUGAUUCAGUUUAAUAAUGAAAUAUUUGAUUGGUUCAUUUUCUAUGAAACAAUUUUUUGGCUUAUUUUUUAUUCAGGCCAUUGAAUUUGAAACCAAACUAAAAAUCAUAGAUCGGAAAAAAAAAAAAUCAACUGAUAACAAAGAUUCAGAGGUCCAAAAAUUCAAUAUACAAAAAGUCGAAGCAGAACCAGUCAAUUUCCAUUCGAUUCAUUCGCUUUUCAAUUCAAUUCGAUUACCAUUUAAAGAGAACCGAACCGAAGCCAAUUCAGCCCAAUUCGAUAAAAAACCGAAUCAAACUUAAUGGUGCCCAAACUAAUGGGAAUUUAGUGCUCCUCUAAGCAUAGUUUACUAAUAAUAGUAAAUUAUUGUAGUCUAUAAUUUUUUUAUUUUUCAUUUUCAACUUAGACUGAGAUGAUGAAGUGGGCACACCACAUGUGUGAGGAAAUACAUGUGUAAACUUCUUCGGUAGUGGUCUUGUUUUUGUACUAACAACUACAAAAUUAUUACAAAAGCAAGGAAAAUUAUAUAUAACAUUCUUCUCUCUCUCUCUCUCUAUAUAUAUAUAUAGAGUGCAGUGGUCAUUUUUAAUUAAGAGAGUCGAAAAGGAGUCAUAAAUUCCUCUUCUUGGGUUCAUGACUGAAAAUUCACAUUGUUGGUUUUGAAGAUUUGGAGGUGUGGGUUUGUGUUGAUUUGGAGAUGGGGAACCCAGAGGAUUUUGAGAAAAGAUGGUGAUGCUUCAUAUUUCUUUUUCUUUUUGAUUUUUCUGUUUUUUCAAAUGGGCUUUCCAUCCUUCAUCUGCACUCAUUGUCAAAAGUUUUGUUUUCAGCUUACAUGGUUUUUCUGCAUAUAUUUUGUAUUCAGCUUCUUUCACUACAGACUACAAAGGAUCAUCUCCAAAGGUUAACGCAUGAAAUCUCAGGACUUUUUUUUUUUCCCCCUUUUAAUAGUUUUUUCUUUGCAAAUUUUGGUCUUUCAAGUUCAAAUUUUUUUCCUUUUAAAAGAAUUUCUCAUUUCGAGUUCAUGCAGAAUCCUGUGUUAUUUCAUCUUUUCUCGUUUUAGGUAAUUACUUCUUUUUUUAAUUAAUUUUCUUUCUUUGCAGGUUUUCUCUUCUCUUCGUUUCUUCACAUUCAGCACUUUUCUGCCCCAACAUUCACAAGGUUUGUAUUUUCUCACCACUUUCUAUUUUCAUUUUAAUUUUCGUUUGUCAAUUGUCUUUGUUUUCACAACUUUUUCAAACUACCUUGUUCUUAAGUGUUUUUGAGUGUCCUCUUAUAAGUGUUCCCAGUGUUUCCUCUGUUUCCGCCAUGCGUUUUUGAGCUUUUCUAAAAAGUGUUGCACGUGUUUUCCUAUGUUCUUUGCUUCAUGUGUUCCUGAGUGUUUUCAUUUAUUUUUUAUUCGAAGUGUUUCCGGAAAACAAUUUCUGCUUUUAAUUUUCUACUAGAUUUUGUAUUUUAUUUCUUGAGAGUAUUUUCAUUUAUUGUUGUUCAAGUGUUUUCAGAAAACAAUUUCUGAUGUCAGUUUUCAACUAGAUUUUGGAACCUUUUUUUUUCCUCUGAUUAUUCUAAAGCUGUUGUCAAUGCUUUUGGAAAAGUGUUUUUAUUUAUUUUUAUUCAAGCAUUUUUGGAAAACAAUCGAUUUUGGAAUUUUUUUUUUAUUUGUUACUACUAUCAAUCCUUUCGGAAAAUGAUGCUGUGAUUUUUUGAUAUAUUUUGAUCUGUUUUAGGCGUGGCCUUGGGCAUUUCUCAACCUCAUAAACUAGCCGUAAAGGCAUAAAUUUUCCUCAGAGUUAUAAACUCAUCACUAGGUUUUACCACAACCGAUGUGGGAUAACUUCAACAUUUUGAUGUCCUAAGUAUGUUCUGAAAAUAAGUUUAGUAAUUUCAAUAUUUUAGUUUUGCGCUUUUUAAUUUCUAUUCUGAUUUAGUACUAAACUUAUAUUCUUUAUAUCUUCUAUACAGGAUUUGCGGAUCAUCCUUCUACUAAAGCUAAUAGAAUGCACGCGCAUUCAAGCAGGUGAGUAUUAACAAUACUUAACAAUUCUUUAUUAAAUGAAAAACCGAACCGAACUAAUAUAUGUAGCAGAAAAUUCGAUGCCUAAACUAUCGCUAAUAAAUUACAUUUUUGCAAAAUAAUUAUACUAGUGAAAUGAAUUGUGAAUCACUUCAAUGUCAAAAGAACACAACAACAUCCAGAUUCAGUACCCACAGUUUAUCAUUAUGCUUAAUUUUUUUUCACAAUUAUUAAUGAUUUUAAAGGACCAAAGUUUUAAUAAUUAAAAAAAAAAACACCAAUUAUAAAUUUGAAAUUAUGCCUUGUUUCAAAUGUCAUAAAGCGAAUGAUAAAAAAUAUUGCUAGUUAGAAUUAAUCACAAAUGGGCAUUGCAAUUUGCAAAAUAGAUAAAAUGUAACCAUAAAUUAAAAUUAAAAAAAAAAUCUAACUACAGAAGAAAGUCUUUAUGUUCUAUCAACUGGGCACAAACAAAAAGUGUUCUACCCACCAAUUGUUAAAAGCUUUUUCUAGUACAACAAAUUUUUAUCUAUUAAAAAUCAUUUUCUUUCAAGACAAACAUUUUUUUUUAAGUUAAAAUAUUCUUUCUAUCUUGGCACUCCUACGGCAUCAAGCAGCUGGAGGUAGAACUGUGUUGAUGAAUCCCAUUUGCCUGUAACUUUUGAGGUUUUAUUUAUUUCUUUUUCUUUUUCUUCUGCUCUCAGUGGUUGGAAGGUCGUAAAAUUUUUAUAUAUUAGAAAGCACAGCAUGAACGUACAAAGUCACUGUCAUUAUUCAAGGAAGGAACUUGUCCUUUGAUGGUACGCAUUUGCAAAUCAGUAUUUUGACUACAACAGUGGAAGCAUUGUGGUUUAGUAAUUCUCUGGGAUUUCUGCAAACUAAAAGGAAAUGAAAUUGUUUUUAAAAAAAAAAUACAGUGAGGUGCACAUCCAAACUGGUAAAUCUGUUUCUGAUUGACUAAAUAUGGUGUAAGAAAAGCACAACAUGAUUAUUGCAAUUAAUGAUUGGGUGUAAUAUUAAUUCCAAAUUUUUGUCAUCUCUUUUAUAUUUCCAAGAACUUGAUUGUUGUAGUAUUGACGGUGAAUGUAUUUGCAGGUUGCUACUGACAUUGCUGCACGAGGAUUGGAUAUUCCUGAUGUUGAAGUAGUUAUUAACUAUUCUUUCCCUUUAACCACGGAGGAUUAUGUUCACAGAAUUGGUAGGACUGGCCAGGCCGGUAAGAAGGGUGUCUCUCACCCAUUCUUAACAAAUCAUAAUAAGGUAGCAUAUCAAACUUUUUCAUGUUAUCUUUGCUUGAAUUCUGGAGUCAAAACUAUUGUAUCCUUGUGUUAUGCCAAAUAUCUUGUUUUAGCUAGUGACAUUGCUAUUUCAGGCACUUGCUGGGGAGCUGGUGAAUGUUCUCAGAGAAGCUAGACAAGUUGUGCCAGAUGCUCUUCUGAAAUUUGGCACUCAUGUAAAGAAGAAGGUGUACAGUUCUAUCCUUUUUGUUGUAUUUUUCUUUUUUUCAUUCGAUUUGCUGUUAAUCCACUUGCUUGGCACAUAUGUUUGGAAAUGUUGUGCAAGCAAGCUUAGUCAUCUGUUUUCUGCCCUGAAUUAGUUUUCACUGUGCCUCAUCGCAUUGCAGGAGUCCAAGCUGUAUGGAGCUCACUUCAGAGAAAUUUCGGCCGAUGCUCCCAAGGCUAAAAAAAUACCAUUUAACAACUCUGAUGAUCAAGGCUGAUUCACGUAUUGUUGCCCCUGAAACUCGUGUAGGGCUAGCGGCAAGAUAUAUAGGAGUAUAGGAUUAGCUAUUAUUGCAAUUGAGAAACAAAUUUCUGAGUUGCUAUGGUCUAUUUUUGGUAAGCUAAUCCAUUUUUUACUUUUACAAAUAGCUGGUGAAGGAAGCUCACUAUUCGAGAAGUUCAGUGAAGCCACGUCAGCAGAAGGUUAUUAGUGAAAUGUAGAAGUUCAGCUGAGUUGGUUAAAAUGUCGUUAUACAGCUCAUAGUUUGUUAUGUAGAGUUUGUUAAUUACAAGUAGAAAUCACGUGUGAGAACUUAGUAGAUAAACGUGAGCUUGUAAACAAAAUAAUAAGAAAUGAAUUUACUGGAAAUUUCAUAGUUUUAUUUUCUCAGAGAUUUUCUAUUGAACCAAACAGUUUAUUUCUGUUAUUUUUACAUGGUAUCAGAGCCAUAAUGGCUAAUUCAAGCACUGCAACUUCAAAUCAGUCGAUCAUGAAUUUAAAUCAACCAUCACAAAUUUCGUUCACCUUCGCAGCUACUGUGAAAUUAGAUCGAUCUAAUUUUUUGCUUUGGCGAAAACAAGUCUUGACCUCGAUAAAAGGAAAUCGCCUGGAAAAAUUCAUUUCAGAACCACAAAUUGUUCCAGAGCAAUAUCUGUCGAAUGCAAUAACUGAUGGAUCUGGAGAGAACGUUGAAAAUCCAGCUUAUGUCAACUGGAGAGCACUGGAUCAAACACUUCUUGGUUGGCUGCUAUCAACCAUAAGUGAAGGUAUUCGAAGUUCAGUCCUUAGCUAUGAUACUUCUUUUGAUGUGUGGAAAUCUAUUGACAAACUGGAGUUCAAUAUAAAGCUAAGAUCAUGCAACUUCGUUAUGAAAUGAACAUCUUAAGGAAAGAUUCAAUGAAUAUUGAGGAAUACUAUGCAAAAAUGAAGCUACUCGUAAACAAACUUGCCUGUGCUGGUGAUGUCAUUACUGAAAAAGAUCUAUUGAUGAGGAUUUUAAAUGGUUUAGGUUCUGGCUAUUUAGAUCUAGCUUCAAUCAUUACUGCAAAAAAGAUGAGUUAUGAUGAUGCAUAUGCCUUACUGUUGACACAUGAAGCUAGACUUGAACAGAGUCAAGGUACCAAAACCAUGCUUAAUGCAAAUUACAGUUCAAUGAAUGCUAAUAACUCUUACAUGAGAGGAAAUUUUAGAAGAGGCACAUUUGGUAAUGGAUAUUGUGGUCGUUCUGGUAAUAGAAGCUUUAAUGGUGGAAGAGGUGUAUUUUAUAAUCCAUAUCCUAGAGGAUCUCCUACUAGUGUUGCAAAUUUUGGAGGCUAUGGCAGAGGUUAAACAAUGCAAUUUCUAAGGCCAUCUGUAAGACCAAAUUAUCCUCCUCCAGCUUAUCAUCCUUCAGCUAACAUACCCUCUGAUGAAUCACCACCAAUAUGUCAGAUAUGUCAUAAGCAAUGGCACACAGCAGAUGAAUGCUGGCACAAAUAUGAUGAUAGUCCUACUCCAUUACCCAAACACUUUAGAAGGGGUAGAUCAUUUGGGUCAAAGGCUGCUUAUAUGGCUAAUUUCGAUUCAUUUACAAAUUAUGCUGGUCCAACAGUGGAAGACAACUAUGCUGCUCCUUUUUACUCUGGUUUUAAUCCCAUGUAUCACUCACCUUAUCCAUCUGCAGAGUUUAAUACUCCUGAAGCUUGUCUUACCAAUUAUGAAGGGCCUGCUGAUGAUGGAUGGUAUCUGGACAGUGGUGCCACGCAUCACUUGACCAACAAUAUGGCUAACAUGAAUGUCAGAGAAGAAUUCAAGGGAUUAGAUCAGCUUGUUAUCGGCAAUGGUCAAGGUUUGUUUAUAACUCAUGUUGGUGAUGCAUGUUUUACUUAUAAGAGAUCUAAUGCUGCUUAUAAACCAACAUAUAUUUUGCUCAAAGAUAUGUUAUUAGUGCCUGAUAUCAUAAAGAAUUUGCUAAGCAUAUCAAAACUGACCACUGAUAAUAACUUGUCCAUUGAAUUUGUUGGUGAUGUCUGCUAUGUGAAGGAUUCUCUAAUGAGGCAAGUGCUUCUGAAAGGACUUGCUAAGAAAGGAUUGUAUAAGCUUAUUCUCAAGCCAUCUGAGUCUGUUCCUUCCUCCUUCCUGUGCCAAUCUUCUCAUAUUCAACCAUUGUCAAUGUUGUCUGCAUGUUCUUUUGAUCCUCAUGUUCUAAAUAACACUCAGAAUAAUGAUUUCAGUUCUAUUUCUCUUUGUAAUGCAUCAGACAAUAAAGUUUCCAGUCAAAAUUCAUCUUGUAAUGGAUUGAAUAAUAAAGCACUCCUUCUACAUAGACGUUUUGGUCAUCCUAACUCUCAAACACUAAUGCAUUUGCUGAAAAAUGAUGCUUCUGUUAAUCUCUCAAGUAACAGCAUGAAACAAGCACUGAAUCAAAUUUGUGAAGCCUGCCAGAUGGGCAAAUCUCAUAAACUUCAUUUUCCCAUUACAGAAAUCAAAACAACUAAGUCUCUUGAACUCAUUCACACAGACUUGUGGGGACCAUCACCAAUCCCAUCUAGAGAUAGAUAUACUUACUAUAUAAGCUUUGUGGAUGAUUUCAGUCGUUAUACUUGGAUCUAUCCCCUCAAACUGAAAUCAGAGGCCUUAGAAGUCUUCAAAUUAUUCAAAUUGCAGGUUGAAAACCAACUUAGCACCACCAUUAAACACCUGCAAUCUGAUUGGGAGGGAGAGUAUAGAGCAUUCACUCAUUUCUUAAACCAGUGUGGAAUCAUUUUUAGACACUCUUGUCCCUACACACAUCACCAAAAUGGAGUGGUUGAAAGGAAACAUAGACACACUAUUGAGUUAGGACUCACCUUAUUGGCACAAGCCAAGUUACCUUUCAAGUUUUGGUGGGAUGCUUUUCAUACAGCUGUGUAUCACAUUAACAGACUACCAUCUACAGCCUUGAAACUUAUUACUCCGUAUGAGAAAAUAUUCAACCAUAAACCUGAUUAUAGUAUGCUCAAGUGCUUUGGUUGUACAUGCUAUCCUUACUUAAGAGAUUACAAUAAGCAUAAAUUGGAUUAUCACUCAAGCAAGUGUAUUUUCAUUGGUUAUAGUCCAUCUCAUAAAGGAUACAAGUGUAUGCAUCCCUCAGGUCAAAUAUACAUAGUCAGACAUGUUGUUUUUUAUGAGUCUAUUUUUCCUUAUUCCACAGAUUCAGUUUUUCAUUCUACUGAAUCAUCUUCUCAUUCAAGUCAAUCUUUCACAUCUCAAAAAGUAUACCAUUUGUCAACAUUAUUAGUUUCAGUUACUGACAGCUCAUACAAUCCACACUCUGCAAGUUCUAUCAGUAGUAGCUCUCAGAGUUCAAACAAUCCAUCUCAUACUGAUAACUAAAACUUUCAUUUACAGCAACACAUAUCAACUAGUGAACCAUCUAUAGAACCAUCUAUAGAACCAAAUACUCCAACACCUCAACCUGUACCUUAUCCAUCAUCAUUUGUUCAACCUAAUAUCCAUUCCAUGACUACCCGAAGCAAAGCUGGUAUCUUCAAACCUAACUAUAUACUGCAACUCUUAUUCACAAAGAACCUGAUUCAGUGUAUGAGGCCAUGCAAAAUCCAAAGUGGCUUAUAGCCAUGAAAGAAGAGUAUGCAGCCUUAAUGCAGAAUGGUACAUGGUCCCUAGUGCCAAGAAUAGUUGAUCAAAAGGUAGUUGGGAAUAAAUGGGUGUACAGGGUGAAAUAUAAUACUGAUGGAAGUGUGGCCAAAUACAAAGCUAGGUUAGUAGCUAAGGGAUUCCAACAGAUUAUGGGAGUCAAUUGUUUUGAAACAUUCAACCCUGUCAUAAAGCCAGCUACUGUAAGGGUAAUUCUAAGCUUGGCUGUGAUGAAUCAAUGGAAGAUAAGACAAGUUGAUAUGAAUAAUGCUUUCCUCAAUGGAGAGUUGACUAAGGAAGUGUUCAUGGAUCAGCCAGAGGGGUUUGUUGAUGUUGAAAAACCAGCAUAUGUGUGUAAGCUUCAUAAGUCUUUAUAUGGCCUUAAACAAGCUCCAAGAGCUUGGUAUGAUAAGUUGAGAGGAUGCCUGUUACAGUGGGGAUUUUUGAAUUCCAGUUCAGAUACUUCUUUAUUUCUAAGGAGUAAAUCAUCUCUGAUCUUAAUCCUCAUUUAUGUUGAUGACAUUCUAAUAACAGGACCAAAUAGCUCUGAACUAGAAAGCUUUAUUGCUGAAUUUAGCACAAUGUUUGCUCUAAAGGAUCUUGGAGCUCUCUCUUACUUCUUAGGAAUUGAAGUGUUGUAUGACACAGAUUGUGUAUACUUAUCACAAAGGAAAUAUAUAAGGGACCUGUUAUCAAAGGUUGAGAUGAUAAAUUGUAAGGAUGUAGAAACUCCUAUGAGUAUAGGACUGAAACUGCAGAAAGAAGCUCAAGGAAGUCUUGGUCAUUAUGUUGAAGAUGUUACACAUUAUAGGAGCAUCGUUGGUGGAAUGCAGUAUUUGGUUCUGACAAGACCAGAGAUUGCAUUAAGUGUACAUAAACUAAGUCAAUGUGUUUCUGCACCAACCUUGCAGCAUCUCAUGGCAUGCAAACGGGUGCUGAGAUAUAUGAAAGCAACACAGAAUUAUGGACUCAAAUUUAUCAAAGAGGGUGAUAUGAAGUUGACAUGCUUCAUAGAUGCAGAUUGGGCAGGGGACCUAGAUGACAGGAAGUCAGUUGGUGCUUAUUGUGUUUACUUGGGUCACAAUCUGGUAUCUUGGUCAUCCAAGAAGCAACCAGUCAUUGCUAGGUCAAGUACCAAAAGUGAAUAUAGAUCACUAGCUGCAGCAAGUGUAGAGAUAAGCUGGUUGCAGUCUCUGUUCUCUGAGUUAAAGUUACAAUGCACAGAAAAACCUGCCAUUUGGUUUGAUAAUCUUAGUGCAACUGAAUUGGCUCACAAUCCAGUUUUUCAUUCAAGAACGAAAUAUAUUGAGAUUGACAUACAUUAUGUUAGAGAAAAAGUACUUGCUGGAGAAUUGAGCAUCAAGUAUGUACCAAGUGAGGAGCAAGUAGCUGAUAUAAUGACAAAGCCACUUUCAUUCAUAAAGUUCAACUAUUUGAGAGCCAAACUCAACGUCCUCCUAUGUCCCUUGAGUUUGAGGGGGGCUGUGAAGGAAGCUCACUAUUCAAGCAGUUCAGUGAAGCCACGUCAGCAGAAGGUUAUUAGUGAAAUGUAGAAGUUCAGCUCAUAGUUCGUUAUACAGCUCAUAGUUCGUUAUGUAGAGUUUGUUAAUUACAAGUAGAAAUCACGUGUGAGAACUUAGUAUAUAAACGUGAGGUUGUAAACAAAAUAAUAAGAAAUGAAUUUACUGGAAAUUUCAUAGUUUUAUUUUCUCAGAGAUUUUCUAUUGAGCCAAACAGUUUAUUUCUGUUAUAUUUACACAAGAUAGACAUUGAACACGCAUCAAUCUGCUGAUAUGUAAACUUCAUGCUUGUACAAGCUUUCCAAGCUUCUUUGGUUAUAUACAAGUAAUUUACUCAUUUCUAACUCAGCAGGUUAAGAAUUGUGACUUAAGCGUGUUGACGACUUAUUUUGUUAGACAACAUCUUUUGAAUUGGCCCUUUUGUUGUAGUGAUGAUGAAAAUGCACCAAAUAAUUUUGUAAACACAAGUGCAGAAACUUCUAAUCAUCUUUCCCGUCAUUGUUUUGUGGCCUCAAAAUUGUGGAGUAGAGUUGGCAAAAUGAAAGCUCAAUGGAAAGUGUCUUUCGAUCAAAAUCAAAUAUGCAGGCAGUCUUAAAAUUUAAAAGAAGGAAGCAGUCAAUAUAAGAGUAGAAAAUUUCAUAAGUAGAAAAAUUUAGGCUCAAAAAGUGCAGCAUUACUCUAGAAAUUAUUGUACAAACUAGGCUUGUAUAAGCAUUAACGUUGGCUUCCAUUGAGCUUGACAUUUUCCGCAAGAUAUAUUAGGGAAUCGCUUUGUAAUUUCUCACUACAUCUUUAGUCUUUACAAACUAAUCCUAUAGCUGGGGUUAAAUGCAUCUAACGGCUGCUGCAUGUAGUACUUGUAAGGAAAAAGAACAAACACAGUGAGUUAAACAAAUAAAACCAGUAGGUAAAUUAACUGCAGCAACGCAAACAGCAACUGGAAAUCACAACUGAAAAACAGUAGGGAAAAGAAAAAUCGAAACAGAAAAUGAAACCCGAGGCCUGCACAGGACAAUUUCCUUAAAACAGAUUUACCACCUACUGAAGUGCUUUAGGUCUGCUGGUAACUGUUUCCCAAGAUACAACGGGCACGAAUUUCCGAUCAAGCACAGACAGGUAAUUCCGGCGAACCAUAACAGCGGCAAACUCGAUCAAAAAAAUAGACGAAAGAAGGAGGAAAGAAAAAUUGCAAGUGCUCCGUGUGCUGGUUUCAGUGUGUAAAAAAACAGAAGAGGAGGUGCCCUUUUAUACUCAUUGAGGAUGUAACAGCAGUAUUGUAUUGAAUUUCCGAAUUCAAUAUAUGCCAUUAAAUAGUUAUAACAGCCAAUUCAAUUCAAUCAAUUUUAUUUCAAAAUUGAAUUCAAAAACGUGAAUUGUAUAACAGCUAAAAAAUAAUUGUUGUGAAACUGUUACAAUAAAAAAUUCAAAAGGAAAUUAAAAACAUGCCAUGCAAGCUUGGAUGAUUUUGGGAUUGACAUUCGCGUACACAGGUCACACACGAGUUCAACCAAAUCGGUCUUGGAUUUGCACCCAUGCGCACACGCGUGUGGAGACAACUUUUAUCCUUAUAAUUUUUACUCAUGCAUGGUUAAGUGUUUAUAUAUAAACACUAAUCCCUUGGCUUCUUUUUCCCAUGUGGGAUAAGCAUCAUUUCCUUUCAAAUUUCCAACUUCAAGGGUGAACUUUGAGAGACAAUUUCUCAUUCAUCUAAGCACCAUUUUGACAAAAUAAAAUUACACUUUUAAAGUAUUAACAGAAUAGAAUCCGAACCUCACAAGAUUUCUCACUUUCGCUAAGUGGGACCCAUUAAAAAUGUGCCCUCAAAAUACAUGCUAUUUUUUCAACAGUACUUACACAUUACAACUUUCAAAUGUUUUUAUUCCAUUGCACGUGUUUGUUGAAAGCAAUGAAGCGUGAUAUUGUUCCGGAGCUUCACUGGGACACUUUAACAAACACUUAGUAAGUCUAACAGACGCUUAUUACUUUUAACAAGCACCUGCUCAACUAACAUUUCUUACUUCUUUUAUAGUCAAGGAAUCCUCUUCUCCAAGUUUAAUGUUUAGUACUUGCUAAAGAUAUAUGUAUUUUAUAACCAUAUAUUUAAUUGGUCAAAUGAAAUUCUAAGGACCUGAUGAAGCAAUAGAAUUUUCUCUUUUAUUCAAAAUAAAUUUCAUUAUGAACUAAUUAGCUAUUAGACUUAUAUUUACAGAUUGAGCUAAGAAACUUAUGAAACUAAACAAAGAUAAAAGAAAAUAUUAACUGAUAGAGAAUUGAUUAUGGAUUUGUGAUUCAUGUAGCUAUUUGCUUGAAAAGCAGCUGCGUGCCAGAAACGGGAAUGCACUUGAAGAGAAAACCAAUUGGCCAAGACAUAGCUGCAAUGCCAAUACAAGCUGCCCAUUGCCCCCAAUUCAGCCUCUCAGUAUCAGCAAACUUCUUCAGAAACUCUACCAUUAUCAGUUGAAGAACAAUGGUAAUUCCAAUGAUUGCUAGAAACAACUUGUUCUUGUGUAUCCCUUUGAAUAUAUUCUUCUUCUCAAGUUUCCUAGCAUUGAACUCAUUGAAGAUUUGGCACAAGACAAAAGUAUUGAAAAUCAUGGUAUCUUUAACACUUUCAUUCACGCCGAAGAUUGAUCUUCCUUUAAAUUGCAGAGUCAGUAAGAUGGUCACCUGAUAAAUGGCCUGAGGGAUGAGAUUCCUCCACAUGAGUUUUGUUAUCAGAGGCUCGGAUCGGCCAACGGGCGGCUUUGACAUGAGAUCAUUGGUGGGCUGCUCAGUGGCCAAUGCCAAUGCUCCUAGUGUAUCCAUGAUCAGGUUCACCCAGAGCAGCUGAACAGCAGUUAGUGGGACUUUUCCUGAAGAAACAGCAGCGACAAAGUUGAUGACAAGAGCAGCAACAUUGACUGUGAGCUGAAAUUGAAGGAAUUUCUGAAUGUUGUUGUAGACACAUCGUCCCCA
rnacentral:lncRNA from 1 species